UUGCAGUGACUGCUUAUCCCACAUAGCACAUGAUAUUAUACGAAUAUUAUAUACUCAUACUGAAAGUACUGUAGUCGUACGUACCAUUCCUAACAUUCUAAGUAUAUUCGUAUAACAUCUUGAUCAGUAUAUCAUUUUUCAUAUGUUCUUAAGUUCAUACUCAGAAUGAACGAACAAACUACGAUGCUUAUACUGAUUAUCCGUAUACUGUGAUUAUCCGUAAUAUAUGAGAACAUAAAUAAGAACCUUGCGGUUAUCUCAUGUAUAAAAAUUUACAUCGAUCGCGCACUGAUUCACACCCAAAGCGCUAUCAUUACCUUAUUCUCCCUUGUAAGCAUUAGUCUGAGCGUAAAACUGUCAACGUAUAUUCUGCAGAACAUACUCAGUUUAAGCGCUACCUACGGCAGUGUCGGCGGUUCCCACAGUGUCCCCAGCUGUUUUGUCUUUCCGAUGAGUUUACGUUUGCUGGGUUGCACGAUUUCGCAAGAGAUUCUUUAUCCAAGGAAGCAGCCGAAGAACUGCCGAGGUGUCUCAAAUUAGUUUUAUAUCCGGACGAUGUAAAACCGGAUAAAAAUAUUAAGGACCAGUUAA